rnacentral:tRNA from 1 species
GCUCCCUUCGUCUAGCGGUUCAGGACGCUGCCCUCUCACGGCGGUAACAGGGGUUCGAAUCCCCUAGGGAGUACCA